UGGGGAAUCUUGCCCAAUGGGCGAAAGCCUGAGGCAGCAACGCCGCGUGCGGGAUGACGGCCUUCGGGUUGUAAACCGCUUUCAGCAGGGACGAAAUUGACGGUACCUGCAGAAGAAGCUCCGGCCAACUACGUGCCAGCAGCCGCGGUAAUACGUAGGGAGCGAGCGUUGUCCGGAUUUAUUGGGCGUAAAGAGCGCGUAGGCGGCCUAGUAAGUCGGGUGUGAAAACUCCAAGCUCAACUUGGAGCGGCCACUCGAUACUGCUAUGGCUUGAGUCUGGUAGGGGAUCACGGAAUUCCUGGUGUAGCGGUGAAAUGCUUAGAUAUCAGGAGGAACACCGGUGGCGAAGGCGGUGAUCUGGGCCAGUACUGACGCUGAGGCGCGAAAGCGUGGGGAGCGAACAG
rnacentral:rRNA from 1 species